GGUAAAUUGGUAGAAAAGGGCCAUAAAAUGGGUUACCCUGUACUUUGCUGGAGUGACAGGUUUGGAUGUGCCCUUGUUCUGUAUGCAGCGGCUGUUUCUGUUGGAGCACCAUGCCUGGCUGCUGGAAGAGAAGACCUCUCGAGCAUCUGAUGAAGUGAACUUCAGCUCAUGAAAGCUUGUGCUAUCUAUCUACUAGUCUAUAAGGUGCAAAUCUUCCCUCCUUUCUACUUGACAUCAGACCAGCACACUACUAUGUCUCAAGGCCAACAAGCAGCACCUGACUUUUACUGGGUAUCUGACAGAAGAGUUGGAGCAAAGGAGAUUAGGAGAUGUCCAUGAACUUCUCUGCUCGAUCCUGCCUGUGCAUGGGGCGGGGGGCACUUCGUUUUGGGCUUCUGUACAUUUCCCAUUGCCACCUGUCUUCCGGCUGCUUCCCUUUGACACAGCUGGAUGCGUCACUACCGCGGUCACCUUCGCC